UUGGAGGGCAAGUCUGGUGCCAGCAGCCGCGGUAAUUCCAGCUCCAAUAGCGUAUAUUAAAGUUGUUGCAGUUAAAAAGCUCGUAGUUGAAUUUCGGAAUCAAUUUGUUGGUCGUGCCUCGGUACGUACUGGUAUUAUUGGUUUCUACCUUCUGAAGAACCUUGAUGUCAUUAAUUUGGUGUCUUGGGGAAUCAGGACUGUUACUUUGAAAAAAUUAGAGUGUUUAAAGCAAGCAUACGCUUGAAUACAUUAGCAUGGAAUAAUGAAAUAGGACGUUUGAUUCUAUUUUGUUGGUUUCUAGGAUCGACGUAAUGAUUAAUAGGGAUAGUUGGGGGCAUUAGUAUUCAAUUGUCAGAGGUGAAAUUCUUGGAUUUAUUGAAGACUAACUACUGCGAAAGCAUUUGCCAAGGAUGUUUUCAUUAAUCAAGAACGAAAGUUAGGGGAUCGAAGACGAUCAGAUACCGUCGUAGUCUUAACCAUAAACUAUGUCGACUAGGGAUCGGAUGAUGUUAAUUUUUUAAUGACUCAUUCGGCGCCUUACGGGAAAC
rnacentral:rRNA from 1 species